GACGUAGGAGGCGAGCGUUGUCCGGAAUUACUGGGCGUAAAGAGCUCGUAGGUGGUUUGUCGCGUUGUUCGUGAAAACUCACAGCUCAACUGUGGGCGUGCGGGCGAUACGGGCAGACUGGAGUACUGCAGGGGAGACUGGAAUUCCUGGUGUAGCGGUGGAAUGCGCAGAUAUCAGGAGGAACACCGGUGGCGAAGGCGGGUCUCUGGGCAGUAACUGACGCUGAGGAGCGAAAGCGUGGGGAGCGAACAGG
rnacentral:rRNA from 1 species